UACGUAGGGUGCGGGCGUUACUCGGAAUUACUGGGCGUAAAGCGUGCGCAGGCGGCCUCUUAAGUCAGAUGUGAAAUCCCCGGGCUUAACCUGGGAACUGCGUUUGAAACUGGGAGGCUAGAGUGUGGAAGAGGGGGGUGGAAUUCCAGGUGUAGCAGUGAAAUGCGUAGAGAUCUGGAGGAACACCGAUGGCGAAGGCAGCCCCCUGGGCUGACACUGACGCUCAUGCACGAAAGCGUGGGGAGCAAACAGG
rnacentral:rRNA from 1 species